rnacentral:piRNA from 1 species
UCUAACGUGCUAGUGUUGUGAACAAGGA